rnacentral:rRNA from 1 species
UACGUCGGGUCCGAGCGUUGUCCGGAGUUACUGGGCGUAAAGCGCGCGCAGGCGGCCCGCGAGGUGUCACGUGAAAGCCCCGGGCUCAACUCGGGAGGGUCGUGGCAAACCGGCGGGCUUGAGGCCGGUAGAGGUGGGUGGAACUCCUGGUGGAGUGGUGAAAUGCGUAGAGAUCAGGAAGAACACCCGUGGCGAAGGCGACUUUCUGGGCUGUAACUGACGCUGAGGCGCGAAAGCGUGGGGAGCAAACAGG